GCCCUCGUAGCUUAAAUGGAUAAAGCUUUUCACUGACGAAGAAAAAGAUGCGGGUUCGAAUCCCGCCGAGGGUG
rnacentral:tRNA from 1 species